rnacentral:rRNA from 1 species
AGAACCCAUCUUCGGAUAGGGGGACAGUGGCGAACGGGUGAGUAAGACGUUGGUGACCUGCCCCGGAGAGGGGGAUAAUUCCGCGAAAGCAGGACUAAUACCCCAUAGGCUGCAGGGGGUUAGAGGCUUCUGCAGAAAAGGCUGAGGCGCUUCGGGAGGGGCCAGCGGCCUAUCAGCUAGUUGGUAGGGUAAGGGCCUACCAAGGCUGAGACGGGUAGGGGGCGUGAGAGCGUGGCCCCCCACAAUGGCACUGAGACACGGGCCAUACUCCUACGGGAGGCAGCAGUGAGGAAUAUUGCGCAAUGGGGGCAACCCUGACGCAGCAACGCCGCGUGGGUGAAGAAGGCCUUCGGGUUGUAAAACCCUUUUCUGGGGGACGAGCAAGGACGGUACCCCAGGAAUAAGUCCCGGCUAACUACGUGCCAGCAGCCGCGGUAAAACGUAGGGGGCGAGCGUUAUCCGGAUUUACUGGGCGUAAAGCGCGUGCAGGCGGCUGGGCAGGUUGGACGUGAAAGCUCCUGGCUCAACUGGGAGAGGUCGUUCAAGACCGCCCGGCUUGAGGGCGGAAGAGGGGAGUGGAAUUCCCGGUGUAGUGGUGGAAUGCGUAGAGAUCGGGGAGGAACACCUGUGGCGAAAGCGGCUCCCUGGUCCGCACCUGACGCUCAGACGCGAAAGC